AUGGCGGAACUGCGGUCAGGGGCUGCCGCUGCGUCUGCUUUGGCGGGAGAAGGAACAGCAGGGAUCCAAGUGUUUCACCAUGUCCAGCAUGCCUUGUCAUCUGACAGGAUGGGAAAUCAAGACUCUUUUCCUUCAUUCGGUAAAUACAUAGCAAAUGCCUGCUGGGCUUUGGGGGAAGAUUAACAUGUUUCCUGGCUUCUUAGAGCCUACAAUUUGUGGGAGAAAAUGUACAUUAAACCCUUAAAAACAUUAAUUAUACCUGUGAGAAGUUUUCCAAAGUAUGAGGAUGCCACAAAGGAAUAUAGUAGGAGAUUUAACUUAACCUCAGCAUUGAUUUUCUCAAGAAAAUGACUUUCUGGUAAGAUGUGAAAAAUGAAGAGAAGUGAGCAGGACCAAUGAUUGAGUAUCAUUUUCUGGGUAGAGGAAUUAGCCUCUGCCAGAGGGGCUAAAGUGGAAAGAGGCCAGCCAGUUUAUGAAUUUAGAAGGCCAGUGUGACUUGAGCAUGGAGAGUAGGAGAAGUAGCUUGAGUAAAAGCUGUGGCCAGAUAAUGCACAUCCUUAGACCAUAUUAAAGAGUUUGGACAAUAUCCACAGGACCAGAUGAAGCCACUCGAUAAACUAUGAGGGGUGCUGGCAUCAGACAAAGAGCAGCUAACUGGCAAUUGGUGGACCUGUAUUCUCGUGCUGGCUGUGGUACUAACUUGCUGUAUGACUUGAAAAUGUGAACCUCUAGGCCUUAAUUAUUUCAUGUAUUCAUAUCUAUAUAUCAGUAUCCUUUUUAAUAUUCUUAUCCAUAUCUAUAUCUAUUUGCUAGAUUACUUUGUCUUUAGAAUAGUGUAAUAGGUUGAAUUGUGUCCCCCAAAAAGAUAUGUUGAAGAUCAUAACCAGGGCACCUAAGUGGCUCAGUGGUUGAGUAUCUUGAGACUUUGGUUCAGGUUGUGAUCCUGAGGUCCUGGGAUUGAGUCCUUCAUUGGGCUCCCCUCAGGGAGCCAGCUUCUCCCUCUGCCUAUUUCUCUACCUGUCUCUGUCUCUCUCAUGAAUGAAUAAAUAAAAUCUUAAAAAAGAAAGAAAAUCCUAA
rnacentral:lncRNA from 1 species